ACAGAGUCAUAUCCCAUUAAUUCACAGUGAUCACUAGAAGGCCAACUGAAAACUACAGAAUAAUACAAACUAGAGCCAAAAAAUUUAAACGGUUCACUACACAAGACCUCAUUUAUUUUAGGUUUAAACAAAAGACAUGUUGUCUUCCCCAUGAUAACUCUGUGCAACAACUCUAACUUAAAUGAUCAUUCUGUAAUGAAAACAAUUACCUUUUAGGGUUAUGAAUUCUCACGGUGUUAUGUGUAUAUAUUUUUUUCUGGAACACUUCUAGAUGCACAUUCAGACUCUGUUACAAACAUGGAAAACAUUCUGCACUGCAAGGCAACAACUGAAACAAAAUUUCUCUUCUAAAGUUGCUGAAAACUUCAUCGCUCAAAAAGACAAAUUUGUCUUAUUAUCAUUAUUAGCAUUUGUCAAACUAUACUAUAUAUAUUCUCCCUAUAUAUAGAGAAUAUUCUAUUCACUACGUCUUCCUAAAAGAAAACUUGGUGAGUGACAGAACUGCAAAUCCAAUCAAAUACCAUGAAAACUGGCCAUAAUAAACUUUGCUAUAGUGAAACUCCACUUAAGGGUGCAGCAAAAUGAAAAUCACGGAGCAUGUUUAUGCUUUUUGACCGAGCACAUUGCAUUUACACAGCCACUUGAAGCUGCUGACAGCCAAGAUUUUUAGGGAGGGAAAGAGUCACAUUGAAUGUCUUAAUAGGUAAUAAGAAUAACCAGGAUUUCUCAGAAUGUUUCCCAACACUACUCUCGAUAGAGAGUAAUCGAAGGGACAAACUGUAACUUUUGCACAUUUUACCGAAAUUCAUCUCAUAGUUAAAAGACAGAUGUGGUGUGAAAGCUCUGAUUCAGAGUUAUGAAUGUUCCCCUCCUCAAACACAUAUAAUGAAAAGAAAAAAAAAAUUAAAAAAAAUAAAAGAAGAGAUUUAAAAGAUAAAAAGCCCUGUUUAGGCCAACAAGUUGUUACAUUUCUUGAGCAAGGACAAUUUUCUUAGUACAAUCAUUUCCUCCAACAAGGUAACUCAUGUAAACACCAUAAGGGUCGUACUGUUUGUUCUGUGCUGCCAGAUGGGGGAUAUAAACCAUGCAGAAACAAUUUCAGAUUUCCACCCUGAUUAGUUCAUCUUGAAUAUUUUCACAGUGUGAAUCUGGAAGUCUGAAGUUUACAUAAUGGUUAUAAAUUAGGGAGAAAUCCUGCUGCCAAGAAAGUCACACUCAAGCAAACAAACUGUCUCUUUCCUAACAUGUUUUAGGUGUUGCUUAUCAAACACAUUCUCAGCUGUAGGUGGAAAAAGACCUUGAAUUCCUCGUCGGUUUUUGGAUUGCCGUGUUCCCACCUCGGGCUGUUCAGUCUCAGCGGAGAUUUCCCCGCACCAUCCCCGUCCCCAUCCCGCGCCCGCUGCCCGGCCCGGCGAGCGGAGCUUGCGGCAGCCUGCAGCUCCCUCCGCGGGCCAGCGGAGAGCCCGCAGCCUGCCCAAAGCCUCGAGGAGCUCUGAGCCAUCGCCCAGAGAAACUUCACUGAGCAAAACAUACCCCCUGCAAGUCCUCGAGUCCUUCACACCAAAGAGUUUUGCUACCAGGCAGCCGAAGGGGUGACUUGUCCUGCACCCCUGAACUCCUCUCAUCCAUGCUGUGCCUUCCUGAGCUUCUUCAGAGAACAGCUUUGGCUGGUUUUUACAGUCGUCCCUAAACAUAAGCCUCAACCCCAGUAUUACUUUACAAAAACUCAACAUAAUGCCAGUUCUUAUUAGACUCGAUGGUGGCUGUGGCUGAAAGGAAAAUAAAGAUCACAGUGUGCCUGUAGAGUAGAUAACAAAUACCCAAGUAAGGUUUAUGCAAAGGCAACUCUCAAGGCACAGGCAGAUGGAGUAGGCAAAAGGUAAAGUUUACACAUUCUUUCCAAUUGGCUUGGCUGAGUGCUAAAGCCAGUAAAAAAAAAAGCACUUGCUUUUAUUCAGAAAUCAAUUUAAAAUUAUCAUGUGCCAGACAUAUAAUUGAAAUUUCUGGUUAUUGUAAGUACAGGGGUAAAUUCUGCCCUGAUACAUACACAAGUUCAGCUUCCCUUUAGGAUCAUCAGGGUUAAUGUACAUACAUGUUAGGGCAGAGUUUAAUACUAUCUCCGUGGAGCAGCGAACAACAUUAGGUCAAACAAGCCGGUUUCAUUAAAUACUAAGCAUGUUUAAGGAGAAAUGUCAGAGUUCAGUUCCGCUGGCUAAUGAUGUAAAUCAGGAAUCACUGAAGCCAGACACCUACUCCGAUCUUAUACCCAAUUUGUGUUAGGAUUACUCACUGAAAUAAAUCAGUUCUUUACCAGGAAUCCAUCCUACUGACACAUGAGUAGUUCACAAACUUUUGCUCAGACAAGGAAGUCAUGCCAUGCAGGUUGUAUGACUUUCUGCUGAACUUCUUCUGGAGUGACACCUGCAAGGGCAUCAGGCUGAGGUUAAGAAGCACAAGAUUGGCUGUAUCCCCAGAGUUGCCUCCUGCUGUACUGCUGGGAUGCAGAAUCGUGGAAGAGGAGGGAGAGUUUAGUGUGAGUGGAGGGGACAGAAGAUACAAGGCUGCUGGCCCACACCACUGGGACUGCAGACCUUGCCCAGGGGCUCUGAAGAUGAUGGAGCAGCUCUGUGGGGAGUCACCAGCAUGGAACCAAGGACAUCAGUGUGCCAUGUCCUGAGAGAGUGGCACUCCCCCAGCAUCUGAAUCAGAAAUUGAUAAAGCUUUGGUCCAGGACAGCACAGCCAUUCCUUCUCUGUACCAGAGGAUGCUUGGAUGAUGUUAUAGUCGUGAUAUUCUGAGGAGAAAGAAUUGGGUACAGUCUGAGGCCACCCCUGUGUCAGGCACCUGGCACUGCUUCUGGUAAAUACUGGUGAACACCUGAGUGGCUACUGAUGAUAGAUGUUUCUGCAGUGUGGUGAAUGGACCUACUGAGAUUUGUAGAAGCUAAACCUCUGUCAACGAAUGAGAAUCAUCACACCAGACUUUCGAAAUAUGCUUUUGAUGCCUGUUAGCCAGAGGCUGCUACCUUGUACUUAUGCACACCAGCAGGCUGAACCUCAGCAGCAAUUUUUAUGCCACAUAAAUGCAAGUUUGUUUUUCUAGACCUUUUUAAGAAGGCAAAAAUUCACAGCUAAGUCUCCCCCAAACUUAACACUGUACUUGCUAAAGGAACAUGGGGUAUAUGAAAACAUAACAGUAAGAAGCUGUUUAUACCCUAUAAUAUUAUAACUCAGCUUUUGUCAUAAAUCUCUGUCCUUGAUUGCACAUACCUCCAGCAUGAACUCAUGCUCCUUUUGAUUUUCCUCUUUAUUACCCUCAGCCAACUGAGUGAUGUGUGAGUUCCUGUCAGGGUGCUGACUCUAUUACAAAGUGCAAAGGUAAUUUACAUCACGGGGCUGGCAGGGCAACCAAUAGCACCGUGCCUGGGAGGUGUGCAGCUCCAACAAGUCUCUCUCUUUUAUGGGUAAUGGGGAGCAAUAUUUUUUUAAAAAACAAACGAUAAAUUUCUGUGCAUAGUCAGAGGCAAGUCCUUGGGGUGGGAAAGCAGAUUUACACUCAGCCCACUAGUAGCUUCAUGAGGAGUCAGCAUCUUCAUUUGAGUGAAAAGCCCCAAGAGCAGAGCCUGAGCCACCCCCUCACUGUCUGAAUUCCUUUGGCUCAUCAUGGGGGAAUCAGAGGAGUGGGGAAAAACAGAAAAUUCAUGUUUCUUUGUUUAAAAGGUUCACUGUAAACCAAGACUCCCCAGAGUCAGAGCUGCAGUUUUCACACAGCUCCAUACCCUGUACUACAUGGAAAUUUUAAUUCAGUUUGGAGAUAAACAAACCUUCACUCUAUCUGAGUUCAGGCAGGGGCAAAAGCUCACCCAGGGGCAUAGCCUGAGUGAAAAGGGUCAAUCUUCAGAGGGCCAGGAGGAAGCAAAUCCUUUCCGGUGGCUCUCAGUGGAUCUUCACAAUAUCAGUGGAAGCAACUAAUUUCAGAGGCCAGUCACCCUACACUCUCUUUAUAGCCAUUAAGUAGAGAUAGGCACCUCAAAAAGUGGUUUAGAAAACCCUAUUUAGUCUCUUACUGUGAUCAGUGCUUUGAAGAAGCACUUGCCUCUGCCUGUGGGGUAUAAAUGUUACUCCUACCUGAGACAGGAGCCCACGGACCGCCUGCAUGAGCACACCCACCUGCUGCUCUUCAUCUGUGCCACUUCAGGACUGGAAAACCCAAACCUCCCUGUGGCUGAGGACACAGGCACAGCAUCAACCCCAUCCCAGGCUCUCAGACAAACAGGGACGGUAACAUGCACUCCAAUGUCUGUCAGUUCUGAUUCAAAAUACUGCAGGAUACACCUCAAUGCCCCAAAUUCUAUAAGCACUAGAAAAGUUUCAUUUUAUGGUGAAAGGCCAUUUUCAAAAGCAAACCUGUUCAAGCCUUCUGACAAAACCAAUGUUCUGACCCCAAACUUUGCACUCGGAGAAAUAUGGUAUUGUUCUUUUCAUACAGAUCAUAGGGAAGCGAGGAAACUUCCCCACCUGUAUAUACGUCCCAUGGAUUUACGUGUGAUUAUUCUGUUCUACUUUUUAAGAAGUUCAGCAAUAUAAAAGGCAACAUUGAUAAUUGGGAGCCCUCAAGUCACUUCUGCACCACACAAGGAAAAGGACUUUCCUGCAUCCUCUUUAGGUUACUCAUGAGCACGCUGUUUUCAUGCUCCAAUGAGAAUGCUUAAAUAAUUAUUGUAAAACAUUCAUUAGAACAGUUCUUCCUCUGGUGUUUGACAACAUUUUAAUAUUAGAAAUAUAUUUUGAAAAUAUAUUGAAGUCUGAUAGAUUAAAAAAUUGUGUCCAUUGCUCAAAGCUAUUCAAAACAAUCAGCUCCUAUUUCAAUUAUAUGUGAGUUGCAUGACCAGAUAAUUUUGUGAAAUAGGCUUCAGCACCAUUCAGACUCAAAUCCCAGUGUUUGUUGAACUUCAGAGGAAACAGUGUGUUAAAUUGCAAUGGUGGUCAUAUAUCUUUACUUAUGGAUGUUCUUCACAGCUUCACCAGAUGCAUUUCCUAGUAGCUUGCAUGCAAGACAUUUCAAUAUCAUUUCCUCUAUUGGCUUUCAGUGCACAGCUUAAUUCAAGUACUUCAUUAAAGUUUUCUUUUAAGCCAGUAAUGUUAGGACUGGGGAUCUUUCCAUAAAAGUAUAAUUUUCUGGCCCUUCCUUAGCAGAAAUGGAAAAGAAUUGUGCUCUGCAACUUGAAGAGAACCUCAGCAUUAAUACAAUAGAAACCUGUGUAGCCUCGCCAUAUUCUCACACCAAACAUUUCUACAGGACUUGUUUUUGCAGCAGUAGCUUAACUCCAAAGACAUAUAAAUCUACCUUGUUUGUAAAACUACUGUAGGGCAAUACAACACAGGCCAAACCUUCAUUCCACUGACAUCCAUAAGACUGAUAGCAGCAGAAGAAAGCAACACUCCCAUAUGUUUAUCGUAUCGUAUUUUAUGCUGCUGUCAUGCUCCACUAGCUUUGCACCAAGCUGAAGUCUGACCUUCAUCUUAGUAUGAAUGUGCAGGGCAGAGUGACUGCAUGUAGGCUGCUCUGUUCACCAGCCAUCCCUGCGUGUUGCAUUAUCUCCCUCUGGGGCAUGUUCUACAUCUGCUUCAAGGGUGUGUUUACACUGGAGUGAGUGUAGUGUGAGCAGACAUUCCUGAGUAAGCAUUUUAAGGAGUAUCUCAGGACUGUUUGCAGCACAGCUGUGACAGCACAGACUUCAGCACAGACUGGGGACUCCUAUAUCUGCUCAGUUUUAGGGCUAGUCUGCUUGAGCCCAAAACUGCUGGCCAGAACAAUCUCUCCAAAGUCCAGGGAACUGUGUUUUAGUAGGUCCACUCAUGCCCUUGUUCUCUGAUUCUGUGCACAGAACAAGGUGGUGAGAUUGCAGAAGACAGAGCAACAACCCAUAAGCACAUCCAGCAUCCCAUUAUCAGCAGACACCAUGUACUAAAUAUAUUUAUUAAAUAUGGAAUUCUAGACAGCCAGAAGAAAAAUGCAUGAACUUAUUCCUAGGCUUAAAUUGCAUAAACUUAUUCACUUAUUCCUGGGCUGCCUGGACUAGGAGAAUGGUCUGUUUGCCUUUAAUAUUGAGAUCAGCCUGAGCUCUCAAGAUUAGUAUUUGGGAGGGUUGUAAUGUUAAAGAAGCACAAGGUCAUGCUUGAAAAUGGGUUACUUCAGUUUGAAUAUGAUCACCUUAUGAUUGCUUUGACUGUUGUCCAAGUCCUUUAUAUUCCCUUGGCACUUGGAGCAUCCCCUAUUAACCCAGGCAAGCCAGAGUGACAUGAACAAAAUCAAGCAGAUUUCAGUUCAACAAGAAGCAGAGUGCAGACUUAGAUCCUAAGCUGACAGAAAGAAAGAGGGUGAGCCCAUUUCUGUGCAUUUUUCUGCUUUACUCUUAAUUUGAUGUUCUAGUGAAAUAACUUCUGUGUCCUCCUCCCCAUAGCUCACAAAUUCUUGUGUUUGUUCAUUCUCUGUUAACUCAGUGAACUGUGACUGACUGCAUCUGUGACAAAGUUUGCAUCAUUUUUUCUAACCUUCUUAUCCAUGUUUCAGCAAUUGUACACAGGAGAAGACUUCAUGUGAUAAGGUGUCCCAUUUCUUUUCCAACUCUUCUCAAGGUCCAGCCAGGCUUCCCAGACUGAAUUCUUGUAGCAGCUAUUUGAAUUUAUGUUGGUUAUUCUGAGAACACUGCACAGAAGGCACCAGAGAUGAUUUGAGGACACUGCUCCUCUAAAGACACUUCCUGAAGGAGAAGUAUUGAAUGUCUAUCCAAGCAUUUGCAUCAAGUAUAACCAAGGCAAUCAGUGCCAUCGUGAUCUUUUAAACAUGGUAUUAAAUUGGACCUGGGACAUCUGCAGUCUGAUUUGUUGGAGGGUGCCAAAUAAGCUGGGGUUUUUUUUCUGAAUAUCUUGACUUCUUCACCAAUGAAGAAACAGGGAUAAAAAUUAUUUCCUCCAUAAAUAUUUUAAAUAUUUUAUUAUUCCUCCAUUAAUUAACAAAGACAUCUAAAGAAAAAAAGGAAUUAUGCUUAAUAUCUUUAUAUCCCUUUGAUAAGUCUACCUGUGUUCAAAAUCUCUUGUACUGGUGGAAAUGAAAAUUGUUGUGGUUCAAGUGUUUGCAUAAAUUUUAAGAAUCUAUAUAUUCAGAGUUUUUCUAUGUUUGUAUCUUCAUUUUCCUUAGAGAGGAAGAUUUCUUUAUCUGAACUUUUACUGCUGAACCCUUUGAAAAUGGUCUUAAUUAGUAACAGUGUGGCUCUGUUGUAUGGAGGAGAAUUCUGGCUGUAGCUUUAAUACUUUUAAUAAUUUCUUUUAAUGUAUCAUAACAGCUCCAAACAGUAAGCAGCACAUUGCUAUAGCUGGAUAUUUAUUACACCUACUGUACAAAAGGAACCAAGUCUGUAUUAUUUUUUUAUUCAUAUAUAUGUUCCUAUAAACCAGAUAGCUAAGUGAUGUAUUUAUUUUGGUUUCUAGCCAAGCAGAAAUAUUUAAACUCUGCUUUUGGAAGCAAGAAUUAUCUAAUCACUCGCUAGCUUUUAUAAUAAAACAUUUAUCACGGAACAUUAAUCCAUUAGUACUUAUUUUCCAUCCCAUCCUUUCACUAGCACCUUGCUUUGAACAAGGUUGAGUUUGGCUGUGAUUUUUCCUUUUAUCAUAUAUCAUAGUUACAUGAUGGGACACACCAACAUUGAAUUCAGAAAAAAAUCUUGCACUUUGCUUGAACUUGGCACCCAGAUGUUCUGCUUGUGCUUCCACUGCUAACAAAAUAGUGCAUGUGUGAGUUCUGAAAUAAGUCUUUCAUUGUAAUGUACCAGAGUUUCGUGGAUGUAAGGAGGCAUGUGGAAAUAGCUAAGAAUAAUUACCUGCUAAAGAAAAACUUGUGUUUAACUAGCUUUGUUUUUUCACAGCUUCAAUUUGCAUAGCACAUCACCAAACUGCCACACUUAAGCUCUCUGGCAUUAAAGGCAAAAAUUAAAUGCUUCAGGGGAAUUUCUACUUUAUUUUGUUUUGUUUUGCCAAAUUAGAGAUGAAAGGUAACCCCUGACUAAAAUGUGCAGUCCCUGCCUCUGUGAUGACACAUCACCUAUGUGCCAUGUGGCUGAUCAAAGGUUGGACUUCCUCGGGUUCUUGCCGGACCUGGAUUUUCAAAGCCACUGCUCAGCACAGUGUCAGCUCAGGACCAGAGGGUGACAUGUCCUACAGCACAAAGGCAACGAGAGGAAGCACUCAGGGAGCUCCACAGUCUCAGUCUGUUUUCUUCAGCUCCCCCUGGAAAGAGAGAAAUAAACAAAGAAAAGGAAGGUGAGAAAGUCAUGAAAAAACAGGUAGGAAGGUCCUUGAGGAACAAAAACCAGAAUGUGCAACUGAGAAGUCUCUGUUAUCUAUGGCCUUUGUGUGCAGCUCUUCCAAGCAGCAUCUGGAUGCCCAGGUGGGUAGGUAGGUAUCUCCAGAGAUAUCUCUGGAGAUCACAACAGCUGGAACUCUCCUCCACUCCCCAGAGUGUGUUGGAACCAGGAUCUUGGGUUCAGCAAAACUCAGCUGAACCCAAGAUCACUCCCCUUUACACAUCUCAAACCUUGCACAACAUUGAUGCCGUGUGCCCCCAGAAUGGGUUCUGCAGGCUAGUGUCAAAGAGAAGCUGCUGCAUUUGUUUCUCAUUUUUAUUAUGAAAUGUUCUAUUUGUGAGCCAAAAAACCACCCCUUUUUGUAGCAUGCAUUACAGAAUGUAUGAAACAUCAGAACCAAAUCCUGUGAACUCCGGGUGUAAUCUUUACUGCUGGAGUAGAUCCUUUGCAACCCACAGGUGUAAUAAAUACUAUGACAAGCUUUUACAGAACAAGAGCCAAACUAUUAUUAAUUGUAGCACUGGAAGACCCUAAUUGACUCCGCCUCUCUUUGCAGAUUUAACUGAGGCCUGAGUCAAGUGCGGGCUUUAGGCAGGCUGCAACCCAGGAAGGUGAGUGACUUCAGUGACCACAGUGAUUUGUGAACCUUGGUAGGAAUGAAUGGAUCCAGACUGGAGAACAAAUGGUACCAGGAGUGAUAAGCACUGCUUACUUUUGGAUUUGCUAAACAACAUAUUUCAUCACACACCUCCUGCCUGAGGAAAAAACAUACUGAAUACAUUCAACCCGGAAAUUUCCCUACAGGAAGAAAAAUAGGAUGAAAGCUGGACAGUUAAUGUGUUUUCUUCAAAGUCAGGAGCUGAAGUUGAUAACCUAUUUAUAUGAUGCAUGACCUCCUGAAAUCUCAUUGAGUGUCUUUUUGUUCUGUGAUUUUACACCACUUAAAAUGAGGUAUAGCACCAUUUAAAAUGAUUUUGUGAUGUAGAUACUACCAAAUUGUAGAAGCCUCUGAGUGGAAACAUUAAUUUUGUUAUUACUGGUGAUGCUCUUGUCAUUACUGUUAUCUUUCCACACUCUCAAGAAAAAUAUUGAAAACAGAGAAAUGCAAAUACUGCUUUAAUAAUAAAUAAUACAA